CUGGAGGAACGGACAUCAACAGAGACUCCCCAAGUAGCGGCGAGCGAACGGGGAUCAGCCUAAACCACAUUAGUGCCAAGCCUGAGGGCGUUGCUGAUGUGGGGUCGUGGGACCAGCCUGAGAGUGCCUCAGCCUCUCACAGAGUUACAAAGUCGAACGAUAGUCGAACUGCCCUGGAACGGGCGGCCAUAGCGGGUGACAGCCCCGUAGACGAAAUCGCUCGACCUCUGCGCUGGCACCCGAGUACCGCAGGGCACGUGAAACCCAGCGGGAAUCUGGGAGGACCAUCUUCCAAGGCUAAGUACUACUCGACGACCGAUAGUGAACAAGUACCGUGAGGGAAAGGUGAAAAGUACCCCGGCGAGGGGAGUGAAAUAGUACCUGAAACCGUACGUCUACAAGCAGUUGAAGCACUAUGGCCGCAAGGCAAAGUGCGACAGCGUACCUUUUGCAUCAUGGGCCUGCGAGUUACGCUAUGUCGCGAGGUUAAGCCGUGAGGUGGAGCCGUAGGGAAACCGAGUCCAAAUAGGGCGAUUUAGUGGCAUGGCGUAGACCCGAAACCGAGCGAUCUA
rnacentral:rRNA from 1 species